GCCCACAUUCUUGCUAGUGUUUCCUUUAUGUCUUCAACCUGUAGAACAUACCUUCAUACACACUUCCUUCAAAAGAACAAACAAAUUAUUUUUGUAAAUCAACUUCAUUUUACAACAAUAAUUUUACCAUAUUUCUAAGUCAUGAACAUCGUCUACAGAAAAUAUAAAAUAGUAUGGCAUCGUGAUGAAGAUAGUAAAUAUGAAGACUUAUUUUUCUCUUCCUUACUCAUUCUAAAUAUUCUAAAUAUGACUAAGCCG
rnacentral:lncRNA from 1 species